AGCUGAAAUGUUAGCUAAACUCCAAAUUAGCCUAAAAAAUCUUAAUAAAAGCCAAAAUAAUUAAGCUAGCAUAAUGCCAUUAUUGCUUUCAUCUUUACAACACUCUGACUACAUAUAGUAUAAAGUUGGACACAAACCGGGGCCUAAUCGACCGCGGUUGGGUCACCCAGGUGAAGAGGUCUAAAGAUCAAAGACUAAAGAUGAGAGACCAAAGAUCAAACACCCUAUGACCCUGGGUUCUUGACUGACAAUGUGUCCAAGCUGAACCAGUGACCUGUGCAGAAUGGAACGCUCCAGGGUUUCGCAGGGUCACCCCGCCAUCACAUGAGUUCGGCAUGCCACUCACUCUGGGUUUCAGUGUCAGUGUCAGCAGAAGAAGAAGACAGAUGAGGAAAAACAAGUUCCUGUUGUGUUUCUAAAAGACAGAAAAAGCUUUCCCCUGAAACUGCCUGGCUGUGAUUUACGCAGGGAGCAACCCUACAAGCAUGUGAGUGUGGUGACGAUGCAGAACAGACGAGCCACAGACGGAUCACCCCAGAUGUAAAACACCAACACAGCAUUAACUCGAUCCCAAAUGCAUCACCGGAUUAGCAGAGUAUUUUAAAAGCAACAUUUCAUUAAAGUCCCCCAUGAAAAUCAUA